rnacentral:rRNA from 1 species
AGUGAACGCUGGCGGUAGGCCUAACACAUGCAAGUCGAACGGCAGCACAGUAAGAGCUUGCUCUUACGGGUGGCGAGUGGCGGACGGGUGAGGAAUACAUCGGAAUCUACUUUUUCGUGGGGGAUAACGUAGGGAAACUUACGCUAAUACCGCAUACGACCUACGGGUGAAAGCAGGGGAUCUUCGGACCUUGCGCGAUUGAAUGAGCCGAUGUCGGAUUAGCUAGUUGGCGGGGUAAAGGCCCACCAAGGCGACGAUCCGUAGCUGGUCUGAGAGGAUGGUCAGCCGCACUGGAACUGAGACACGGUCCAGACGCCUACGGGAGGCAGCAGUGGGGAAUAUUGGACAAUGGGCGCAAGCCUGAUCCAGCCAUACCGCGUGGGUGAAGAAGGCCUUCGGGUUGUAAAGCCCUUUUGUUGGGAAAGAAAAGCAGCAGGUUAAUACCCCGCUGUUCUGACGGUACCCAAAGAAUAAGCACCGGCUAACUUCGUG